AGAUCAGGGAUUUUUUUUGUCUCCAAGGAGAGCUGGCUGUUAAACAUGAACCAGUACACACUGGGGGGACCCUGUGGAAGCUCUUUUCCAGUUAGCAUCGUGGCCGCUUUGGGAGGGUGCCCUAGGCUCUCGUUCCUCCUUUCCUGCCUCUGCACAGAGCCUGCGUCAGGCGGCCACACCCCUGAAGGUUGGUACUUAACUGUCCACAUGGUCUGCACUGCUUCAACUUGGCUUGAGAUUACUCAACUCCCAGCCAACACCGGAACUUAUUUAAACAAUAAAUACUUGCAAACUGAACAAAACAAGCUUCCCACACAGAGCCGAGUAACGCGACUGCUUUACACAGUGAGUGGGGACACAGCCUAAUCAGCGUCGCUCAUUACAAAGUGCAGUCCCGUGGGGCGUUCACCUGUUCCUGUCCCUGGGCCCACCUUCCCGGAAGUCAGAGGCUCCAGGGGUUCCUAGAGGCGUGAGUGUUUGGUACGGGGACCCCGUGCUCAGAACCCCUCGGGCAGGAGUCAGGCCCAGCUGUAUGGAGCGAUGCUGCGGACUCUUCAUUGACACAGUUGCAGAGAAGAUUCAGGAUAUAAAUUUGAAGAAGGAUUAACCAUUCCCAGAACAAAUAGCCCUCGCCCGCUCUCCUCUUCAUACACAAACCCCACUGCGUAUCCAAGUGCAAACAGGUGGAUGCUUAACCACUACACCGCCAGGGAAGCCCUGCUUUCAGUUUUGAAAGCCAUGUUUCUUCCAGGGGCUGUUGCCUUUCAAGGCUCUGCACGGUUACGCGAUUUGUCUCUGACAUGACCGACCGUUCUUCUCCAGCCUGUGUGGACCCUGCUCAAGGAGGAAGAAUAGAAAGGACCUUGCCCUUGAGUUGCUUACAGCCACUCUGUUCAGGGAAUAAUCUUUGGGCAAAGGAAAUUCCUGCCCAGUGCCACUCAGAGGCAGGUGUGGGUGUGGCCUGCUCUGGCGCCAGCAGAGGCCGUUCUGGAGUCCCCAUGGCAGACCUUUCUCCGCACCGUUUUGGGUGAGUCCAGAGAGGAAAUUUUCCUUGGACCUGCGUCAUCUCUGCUCCGCAGAGUCCGGGAAGGCCAGAGGAUGGCGCUGGUCUCUGCAAAGAGCAGCCUGUGGUCAGGGAAGGCAGCCCACCUGGGUCAGAGGCCGCUGACAUCACAGGCUAAAUGGAUGUUCAGGGAGAGACCCCGUGACAACUGAGUUACAAGAGGCCUCCCAGAAGUUGUCUGACCUCAUGGAAAAAUCAAUGCACCUCUUGUUUUUGUCUCCUGAAAUAUUUCGUCGGUGAUGGUCCUUCCCCAGGUGACAACAUAUUUUAUGACAAAGUGCGGCAGGCUGCUGGGCCUCUGGUGGCUUCAGACACAGCCUGACAUCAUUCCCUGUCAUUACUGAUGAGUCUCACCUGCCUGGGGCUGGAAGGUGAUGCUUCCUCCCUGCCCCACUAGGGAGCCUGGGAGGGAGA